ACGGACUUAAAAUCCGUCGACUUUAAAAAUCGUGAGGGUUCAAGUCCCUCUAUCCCCUAA
rnacentral:tRNA from 1 species